CGGGGGCUCCGGAGGCGCCUGCGAGAGGCAGGUGCGCGGCGCGGACUACAAGUCCCAGCAUGCCCCGCUGCCCUGACCCGGCCCCGGCUGCCACUUAAAGGCUCUGGGAGCCGCAGCCGUCGGGUCGCCGCGGCUUUCGCUUUGCCGCCGCUGCAGGGCGGGCGGGAGCAGCCGGCUCCGUCGCCGGCUCUACUCGCGUCCCUUCCCCGCAGCACCCAGGGGCGCUCCUCGUGCAACCCUCCCGGCUCGGGGAUUCCCGUCCGAGCCCGCGCCCCCGGGCUCCCCGCCUCAGCCACCCCGCGGCCCCGAUGCCGAGGUAUGGAUAGAGCGGCACGGCGAGCGGCGGCGAUGGGGGAGAAGAAGGAGGGCGGCGGCGCGGGGGACGCGGCGGCCGCCGAGGGGGGCGCCGGAGCCGCGGCCAGCCGGGCGCUGCAGCAGUGCGGGCAGCUCCAGAAGCUCAUCGAUAUCUCCAUCGGCAGCCUGCGCGGGCUGCGCACCAAGUGCGCCGUGUCCAACGACCUCACCCAGCAGGAGAUCCGGACCCUGGAGGCCAAGCUGGUCCGGUAUAUUUGCAAGCAACGGCAGUGCAAGCUGAGCGUGGCUCCUGGUGAGAGGACCUCUGAGCUCAACAGCUACCCUCGCUUCAGUGACUGGCUGUACACCUUCAAUGUGAGGCCAGAGGUGGUGCAGGAGAUCCUCCGAGAGCUCACACUGGAUGCCCUGCUGGACAUGAAUGAGGCCAAGGUGAAGGAGACGCUGCGGCGCUGUGGGGCCAGUGCGGAGGAGUGCGGCCGCCUGCAGUACGCCCUCACCUGCCUGCGGAAGGUGACAGGCCUGGGAAGGGAGCACAAAGAGGACUUGGGCUGGAGUUCGUUGGAUGCCCGGCGGGAAAGUGGCUCAGGGCCUUCCACGGACACCCUCUCACCAGCCAGCCUGCCCUGGCCCCCAGGGAGCGCCCAGCUGGGCAGGAUGGGCAGCAAUGCCCAGGGUCCCCGCUCCGUCUCCGUGUCAGCUCUGCCCACCUCGGACUUUCCCACGCCUGGCCCCAGCGAGGGCCUCACGGACACCUGCAUCCCCCUGCACGCCAGUGGCCGGCUGACCCCCCGUGCCCUGCACAGCUUCAUCACCCCCCCAACCACGCCCCAGCUGCGACGGCACACCAAGCUGAAGCCGCCAAGGACGCCACCCCCUCCCAGCCGCAAGGUCUUCCAGCUGCUGCCCAGCUUCCCCACGCUCACCCGGAGCAAGUCCCAUGAGUCUCAGCUGGGGAACCGCAUUGACGAGGUCUCCCCAAGUACUUACUUGACGAGGUUUGAUCUCCCCCACGGCUCCCCACAGAUGGUACGGAGGGACAUCGGGCUCUCGGUGACGCACAGGUUCUCCACCAAGUCCUGGCUGUCGCAGGUCUGCCACGUGUGCCAGAAGAGCAUGAUGUUUGGAGUGAAGUGCAAGCAUUGCAGGUUGAAGUGUCAUAACAAGUGCACCAAGGAAGCCCCCGCCUGCCGGAUAUCCUUCCUUCCAAUAGCUCGGAUUCGGAGGACGGAAUCUGUCCCUUCGGACAUCAACAACCCGGUGGACAGGGCAGCCGAGCCCCAUUUCGGAACCCUCCCCAAGGCACUGACAAAGAAGGAGCACCCUCCAACCAUGAACCACCUGGACUCCAGCAGCAACCCGUCCUCCACCACAUCCUCCACGCCCUCCUCGCCGGCUCCCUUCCCAACAUCGUCCAACCCAUCCAGUGCCACCACGCCCCCCAACCCCUCGCCCAGCCAGCGGGACAGCAGGUUCAACUUCCCAGCUGCCUACUUCAUUCAUCAUAGACAGCAGUUUAUCUUUCCAGACAUUUCCGCGUUUCCACCGGCAGCCCCGUUCCCCGAUGCAGCGGACAGUACCCGGCUCGACGACCAGCCGAAGGCAGACGUGUUGGAGGAUCAUGAAGUAGAGGCCGAGGAGCCGGAGGCUGGCAAGUCAGAGGCAGAAGACGACGAGGACGAGGUGGACGACCUGCCGAGCUCCCGCCGCACCUGGCGGGGCCCCAUCUCCCGCAAGGCCAGCCAGACCAGCGUGUACCUGCAGGAGUGGGACAUCCCCUUCGAGCAGGUGGAGCUGGGCGAGCCCAUCGGGCAGGGCCGCUGGGGCCGCGUGCACCGUGGCCGCUGGCACGGCGAGGUGGCCAUCCGCCUGCUGGAGAUGGACGGCCACAACCAGGACCACCUGAAGCUGUUCAAGAAAGAGGUGAUGAACUACCGGCAGACGCGGCACGAGAACGUGGUGCUCUUCAUGGGGGCCUGCAUGAACCCGCCCCACCUGGCCAUCAUCACCAGCUUCUGCAAGGGGCGGACGUUACACUCGUUUGUGAGGGACCCCAAGACAUCGCUGGACAUCAACAAGACGCGGCAGAUCGCUCAGGAGAUCAUCAAGGGCAUGGGCUAUCUGCAUGCCAAGGGCAUCGUGCACAAGGAUCUCAAAUCCAAGAAUGUCUUCUAUGACAACGGCAAAGUGGUCAUCACCGACUUUGGGCUGUUCGGGAUGUCGGGCGUGGUCCGAGAGGGACGGCGUGAGAACCAGCUGAAGCUGUCACAUGACUGGCUGUGCUACUUGGCUCCUGAGAUCGUGCGUGAGAUGACGCCCGGGAAAGAAGAGGAUCAGCUGCCGUUCUCCAAAGCUGCUGACGUCUAUGCAUUCGGGACCGUUUGGUAUGAGCUGCAAGCAAGAGACUGGCCCUUUAAGAACCAAGCCGCAGAGGCCUUGAUCUGGCAGAUCGGAAGUGGGGAGGGAAUGAAGCGAGUCCUGGCCUCCGCCAGCCUGGGGAAGGAGGUCACGGAGAUCCUGUCCGCCUGCUGGGCUUUCGACCUGCAGGAGAGGCCCAGCUUCACGCUGCUGAUGGAAAUGCUGGAGAAACUGCCCAAGCUGAACCGGCGGCUCUCCCACCCCGGGCACUUCUGGAAGUCUGCUGAAAGAGAAAGCUAGGUGCUAUGAGAUGGUUCCAGAUCCCCAAAGACCCCAUAGCCCACGGUCUCAUUUCGCCGAGGGAAACUGAGGCGCCGCUGGGCACUGCUUCUGGCCCACUGCGAUCAGCAUUAGCCUCUAAGGAAAAGAAUGCCAGCACCCCCUCAUGAGUCCGUGUCACAGCUUCCUGUUCAUGAGGUUGUAGGCCUGGCUGCCUCGCAUGUGCCUGGGGCUUUCUUCCUCCUAAUCGUCACUCAGCACCUCGACUCCUGCUCAAAUGCAAACCGAGAGGCGGGCACUAACCCGGGGACGCCAUCUCUGCCGCUCCACCUUCUCUCCUGAGGCCUCCUCUUUUGCUUUGUUUGUUUUAAAACUGGCCCCUCCGUCUCCACGGCCUGCGUGUGCCUGAAUAACUGGUGUCCGCGGAGGACCCCCUAACAACUCCUCCCAGAAGGCCCUGGACGCGGCUGCACCCUCUCUAGCUCUUCCUCUGCGGGUGCUAGCGUGUUUUGUUGGGUGGCCCUGCCUCCUACUAACAGCUCAGUGAGACCUGUGCCCUCCCCCCACCCUGCCAACCUGCACGUUGCCAACCCCAGCACGUCGGCCUCCCAGUGGCUGGGUCCAAAGAACGGGGAGGGGGUCUGCUUGGCUAUUAACCAUAGGGAUCUUGUCCAGCAAGGAGUGGGGCGAUUUCAGAGCUGCGCAGGGCCGUGCCCUCUGCAGGGCUGCCGGUGGUGGACACCCCAAGGUCUGUUGCCGUAAAAGACACCAGCUUGGAAGGACUGCUCAGCAGCGCUCAGGGGGGUCGUCUGAAAGCAAGGGGCCUGUCUCCAAACAGUUUCACUGAUGAAAGCAAAGCUCCUGCCCCCUCCCACCCACAACGUUGCUCCCUUUACAUCUGCCCAGUGCGGACGGCAGUUUCCAGACCCUGAGUCAGCUCAUCGAGAGUGUGGUUGGCUGGGCACCCAGAGUCCCUGCAUUGUUGCCAAAUGCAGAUUCCUGGGCCCCCAAGACCCGAUCCCGGUCUCUGGAGGCCGGCCCUGAGCACUGCGUGCUUCCAGGUGGCCCUCCGAUGUGUGAGGCCCACUUCUCACAGGAGCUGGUGAUGUCACUCAGCUCUGGGGUCGGGUGUCCUUCUCCCAGUUCCUCUGGGACAGAGCUUCCCUGGGCUGUGGUGAGAAGUCAGCUCAGAGGAGCCCAUGGCAGGUACUUGCUCUGGGAGCUGGGGGCUGUGAGAUGCACAAGGGGGCGUGUGGCCAAGGCUGGGCUCCCGACCCUGCACGACCAGGAGCAGCUCUGUCGAGACUACAGCCGUUGGCUGUGGAAUCAUUCUCCCUUCUUGGUGGGCUGGGUCCUCUGUGAGCUUCUGGAAUUGGCCCACUCCUUAGCUCAUGUCACCCUGAUCUGAUCGGGACCAGCGGGGCUGUAACCCUUGUUUUUGUUCCUCUUUGCAGCAUUAACAGCAGCAAAGUUGUACCCCGGUUUGAGAGGUUUGGCUUGGGCGCCCUGGAGGCCAGUAAUCCAAAGAUGUAGCCAGCUGUGCAGUUUCCCCGCCGAUUUCCUCCUUUUUCAAAGUGUUUCUAAAACAUCCACACAACCUCCACCACAAAAAGCAGCACUUGCCGCCGAAAUGUCCGCCUGCCGCUCUCCCAAGCGCCGCAAGCCAGGAGCCUGCGUUCUGGGCUCAGACCUGUUUGUGCGCAGAAAACACUCGGGUCUCGGAGACGGAGCUGCACCUGCUGUUUCUUAAAGUGACAUCACCAACAACCAAACCUGUCCCGACGGGCAGCCAAUGUUUACAUGUGCGAUGUUUUACAAUAGGUAAUAAUAAAAGCGGGCUGUGCUGAGGGGCGACAGCGGACAUGGUGCCCCUGUGGAGAGCCCUGUGGGCAGGGAGCCCGCGCUGGGCCGCAGGAAGGAAAGCCUCCAAUGUUGUGGACGUUUUGGGGGCAGGAUGGGGGACCACAGAUCUGACCUCGCCUCUGCUUUGGCCCUAAAUCCUGUUGUGGGGGCGGGGGAAGCUCCCUCGGCCGGGGUCUCCCCUCGUCCCUCCCUCCUCUUGCAGAGGUAACCCUGGCUGGGAACCGAGCUGGAAUACGAGGGUCCCCAGAUCCCAGAGAGCUGGGUUCACCUCUGACCCCUGCAGUUCAGCCCACCCCAGCUGGAAAGGCAGAGACGGAUCAAACCCGAGUAGCAUCUGCACUGAUCCAGUGGUUCCACCUUCUGCAGCGAAGUUUCCUUCCUGCCCCCAGGGAGGCAGCCAGGGCCGCGGCUUUUUAGACACAGCUGAAUCCCUGACUGACAUUUGAUUUGACCCCAGAGCAAAGGCCGUGUGUGCCGUGAAGGCUCCGUGAGGACAAGGAAGGUGCGGGGGGAGGAGAAGCAGCAGUGGGUCCCCGAGCCCCCUCCCAGCCUCGGUGUUACCUGGCUGGCCCCUUAGAAACCCAUCCUCAGUCACCCCAAGGCCUGGAGCCGCCCAUCUCUUCCCCAGCCCCAGUCCUGUUGAAGCCCCUCAGCCCACUCCUGGCUCCCCCACUCUCCAUGUGCAGAUCUAAGAUGGGAGGCGUGUGCCCCCCCUUUCAUGAGAGCCCCCCCAGUCUCCAGAGCCUUCCCCAGCACCGAGUCAGGCCUCCCUGUCAGGCCUCCGUUUGAACCAGGACAGCCCGUGAUGAGAGAGCAUCCUGCCUGUCUUCAUUGGAAGCUGCCGCCUCAAGAGACAAGUUCCACGUGGCAAAGAAGCCCAUCAGUGGACGUUCUGUCCUACUAGGCUCCCAACCAGAAAUGACCAAGGAGGGUGAGAGUGGCCGUGUGGUUGGGUUCAGGCCCAGAACCUGUGUCCGUGCUCUGAGCCAAGAUGGGAGGCAGGUGGUCCUCCCACCCCUUUCACUUAUGCCCCUAGCAAAGCUCCCAAUCGUCAGAGCCGCCCUCCCCCUUCCUGGUCUGACCAAAAUGCCGUAUGAAACGGGCCUCUGCCCAGACGCUGAGGGCUGUGGGCCCGUCUCCAGGCCAGGCCAGCACCCUGGCUGAGCGGUACUUGGAGAGCACAGUUGCCGGGCAAUGCAAGGUACCCGGCUCCCGCUGCCCGUCCGCCCUCCGGAUGGGAGCGCCUCCCCACCUCCCAGUUAGGGUGUGGGAGGAAGAUGGGAGCUGGAAACCAGUGGCUUCGGCUUGUGUGGGUCUGUCCUCUGGGGCUGUCUGUUUCUCCCAUCAUGCCUUUGGCUUCCCCCGUCAGCCCUCUACAAGGUCACCCCCACCGUCAUCACAGUGUGUGACUGCUGCCUCUCGGCUUCCCCUCUGAGCCUGAGGCCGUGCUGGUGAGCCCUGGGCUUGGACAGCAGCGGAGCACACAGGGCUCAGCGCCUCCUUCGCCCACGAAAGUUAGUCUGCAUUUUGUUUUUUCUCAUGAGUGUGACACUCGUGGGUCAGCUCAAGAAGCGUUUGCUGAGCAGCUACUGUGCUCUGUGCAAGUGCCAGGGGCCUGGUGAUAAGACAGACACCGUCUCCACCCUGAUGGAACUGACGGUCUGCCAGGAACCCCAAGAGUGUAGCUGAGUGUCUGGGGGGCACCUCUUCUCCAAGGCCCCGGGCAGCCUCCCCACGCAUAGCCCAAGCCUCUGCACUCCCCAUCAUUUAGGAGAAACACCUCGGAAAGCCCCCCCCACUGGCCCCUUCCCUGUGUUUCCAUGACUGUGAAUGAGGUUGGGAAGCUGUGCACGCCCUCCGUGUGCCCUCCCUUCCUGCCUUGGAAACGUGAAGGACGAUAGAUACUGUGAAUUCAGCCUCAUGGCCAACUGUGAAGGGGAAGGAGAAGCUGGGAGGCCUCCUUGGAGAGAGCUCUGGGGGCUGCAGACGUCUGCACUGGGGUCAGAGUGGAGCCCAAGUACUGGCCCUUCAGGGCCCCCAGAGUUCCAGCCUCACCUCCAAAGUCCCGAGGUCUGUGUCCCCACUGCCUUUAGCCACCAGAGCCGCAGCCACUGGGUCUCCAUCCAACUUGAGGUCCUGAACCCCAGCGAGUCCCUGUUCAUCGUGAGUGGUGUGUAGCAAGGUGCCCUCUCCUUGUCACCAAACUAAAGACGGGCACGGGGCCCUGGACUCUGCCCCCUCCCAGCGUUUCCUGUGACGUCGGAGGGAGUGGCGCCCUGAAGCCUGUGUUCGGUGUCAAUUGGGGGGCAGGUGGAGACAUAACUGUGAAGCCGAACUGGGAGCUUGUGGGCUUCGGCGACGUCAGCCGGGAUCUCGUCAAUGCGCGCACCCCCUGUGUCUCCUGUGGCCGCGGGGCACACACUUGCUCUUUUGAAUGUGAUGUAAAAUUUGUACAGGAAAAGUUUUUAUAUUUUCUACCAACUGCACUUGUCUUCCAGAAAUGCUAUUAAUUUAAAUUAAAACGAUGAGUAUUAACGAACGUGCUGUAUCACUUUUUGCCACUGGCAAGAACACACCCUCUGCCAGGCCAAGCCUGGGCAUCUGGAGUUUGAAUAAAACUGUACCAAGGUG